UACGUAGGGACCGAGCGUUGUCCGGAUUCAUUGGGCGUAAAGAGCUCGUAGGCGGCUGCUCAAGUCGAAUGUGAAAACUCGAGGCUCAACCUCGAGCCUGCAUUCGAUACUGGGCGGCUAGAGUCUGGUAGGGGGAUCUGGAAUUCCUGGUGUAGCGGUGGAAUGCGCAGAUAUCAGGAGGAACACCGGUGGCGAAGGCGGCUCUCUGGGACGGUACUGACGCUGAGACGCGAAAGCGUGGGGAGCAAACAGG
rnacentral:rRNA from 1 species